AUUGCCAUGGCGGGGGCGGGGGGGUUCCCAGCAUCAUAUCAUACCUCCCUCGGUAAAUACUUUCUCGGGCACAGUGCAUUGAUGUCAGCAUCACAUGACAGCUGCAGGCCGGCCGCAAUCUGCGGGGGCAGGAAGUUUAGCUUUUUAGGGAGGGGGGGGAGGUGUGCUCACAGUCACCAUUUAGUGAGAGCUCAGUCUGCGAUCAGCACCGCCCGGAGAAGCAACAGAUUGAGGAGAAGGCUUCACUAGGAGCAGUAAGAGGUAGGUGUGUGGCCUGCUCCCCGUAUACAUACUGGGUGUGGGCUGGUAGAUUAGCUGUCUGUUCGUGGGGUAUGUGGUUAUAGUCUCACCGCUGCUUCUCUCUCUCCCCCUACUCCAGAGCCAGCUCAGCAGGAUGGCGGUGGAAGGAGGCAUGAAAUGUGUGAAAUACUUAAUGUUCAUCUUUAACUUCAUAUUCUGGGUGAGUAUCUCCCAGGGUUCUAAAGGGUUCUUUUCUCCCCUCUCCCCUUCCCUAGCUCCGAGCUUUGUCCACGUUGCAGUCUGGGAUGAGCUUUAUGGCUGUAUUUUAAUGUUCCCAAAAGCUAUAAUCAGCAGCGGUUCUGUCUGGCCGAUUAACCCUCUCCUUCCUGUACAGUGUGGCAGCACACGCCCUAGCUGAGUGUAAACACGCUGAGCCUGGUUCAGGAUGGUAUCUUCUGACUCUAGAGCAGCCUUUUAAAACCACAUCUCUCUCUCUCUCCCCCCCCCUCCCACUCUCCAGGGUCCCAAACUGUGUACAAGGGGCUUGUUGACUCGCUCUACUAUGGAAGAAAGCUGCCUCGAUGACUUUAAAAUGUCAGCAUUCCAUGUAUUUCAGGAAAACUCUUACAUCUAUACCAAGUAUCAUAUGUCCGCUUUGCAUUCGGG